GAGGCGCAAAAGCUAGGGGAGCGAACAGGAUUAGAUACCCUGGUAGUCCUAGCCGUAAACGUUGGGUGCUAGGUGUGGGCGGAUAUCGACCCCGUCCGUGCCGAAGCUAACGCAUUAAGCACCCCGCCUGGGGAGUACGGCCGCAAGGCUAAAACUCAAAGGAAUUGACGGGGGCCCGCACAAGCGGCGGAGCAUGCGGCUUAAUUCGAUGCAACGCGAAGAACCUUACCUGGGCUUGACAUGCAGGGCAAAGCCGGUGAAAGCCGGCGCUCUACGGAGCCUGCACAGGUGGUGCAUGGCUGUCGUCAGCUCGUGCCGUGAGGUGUUGCCUUAAGUGGCGCAACGAGCGCAACCCUUGUCCCUAGUUGCCAGCGGGUCAUGCCGGGAACUCUAGGGAGACUGCCGGUGCCAAACCGGAGGAAGGUGGGGAUGACGUCAAGUCAUCAUGCCCCUUAUGUCCAGGGCUGCACGCAUGCUACAAUGCGCGGUACAAAGGGCUGCAAACCCGCAAGGGGGAGCGAAUCCCAAAAAGCCGCGCUCAGUUCGGAUCGGGGUCUGCAACCCGACCCCUGAAGUGCGGAGUCGCUAGUAAUCGCA
rnacentral:rRNA from 1 species